CCUACGGGUGGCAGCAGUGAGGAAUAUUGGACAAUGGGCGCAACCCUGAUCCAGCAACGCCGCGUGAGUGAAGAAGUAUUUCGGUAUGUAAAGCUUCAUCAGCAGGGAAGAAGAAAGACGGUACCUGACUAAGAAGCACCUGCUAACUACGUGCCAGUAGCCGCGGUACUACGUAGGGGGCACGCGUUAUCCGGAUUUACUGGGUGUAAAGGGAGCGUAGAGGGCUGUGUAAGGCUGAGGUGAAAGUCUGUGGCUCAACCGCAGAACUGCUUCUGAAACUGUAUAUCUUGAGUACUGGUGAGGCAGGCGGAAUUCGUGGUGUAGCGGUGAAAUGCGUAGAUAUUAGGAAGAACACCGGUGGCGAAGGCAGCCUACUGGACAGAAACUGACGUUGAUGCUCGAAAGCGUGGGGAGCAAACAGGAUUAGAUACCCUUGUAGUC
rnacentral:rRNA from 1 species